CCUACGGGCGGCUGCAGUGGGGGAUAUUGCACAAUGGGGGAAACCCUGAUGCAGCGACGCCGCGUGGGUGAAGAAGUAUUUCGGUAUGUAAAGCCCUAUCAGCAGGGAAGAAAGAAGACGGUACCUGACUAAGAAGCCCCGGCUAACUACGUGCCAGCAGCCGCGGUAAUACGUAGGGGGCGAGCGUUAUCCGGAUUCACUGGGUGUAAAGGGAGCGUAGACGGCCGUGCAAGCCAGGAGUGAAAGCCCGGGGCCCAACCCCGGGACUGCUCUUGGAACUGUGCGGCUGGAGUGCGGGAGGGGCAGGCGGAAUUCCUGGUGUAGCGGUGAAAUGCGUAGAUAUCAGGAGGAACACCGGCGGCGAAGGCGGCCUGCUGGACCGCGACUGACGUUGAGGCUCGAAAGCGUGGGGAGCGAACAGGAUUAGAUACCCGGGUAGUC
rnacentral:rRNA from 1 species